UAAAAAAGUUGAAAAUUAGCCAAGUCCGACCUCCAACCGUCUUAUACCGCAGAUAUCAAGAUUCAACUCCAAAUUCCAUAAAUCUUCUCUUUCAGCUAUUCUCAUUGGUUGUUUUGCUGAUCCAGAUCAAAAUCAUAUAAAUUUGCCGCUGAGAUCUGGAUCUCCUUUUGCCAAAACCAACCCAUUCUUGAAUUUCAGGAAAUCCCGCGUCAAAUUAUUAUCUGAAUCCAAAAUAUCUGUGUUGUUCACUUAGAUAUCUGUUUGAUCAGCAAGGACAGAUGCAGACAGAGAAUCUUGAUUUGAGGGAUAAAGGUGCUUACUUGCUUGAUGAACCAUACUAUACUUGUUGGAGAGAGAGAAUAGCUCAUUUAGCACUGUGGGAUCAACUAGUAAGUUAUUGCUUGAUGAAUCACAAUAUACAUGAAAAGUAGUUACGUAAAUCAUUUUGUGCAUUUCUUACCUUCCAGAUUUUUGUUUUUGUUUUCCCUAAUUUUUAUGCACCAAGCAUUUUUGUUUUCGAAGUAUUUUUUGUAAAGUUUUCGUGAGAGGAAAAUGGGGGAAUGGAAACCAUGUUACUCAAUCGGACUGUGUUAAAAGAGGCUAAUGUAACACUGUGA